rnacentral:rRNA from 1 species
GAUGAACGCUGGCGGCGUGCCUAAUACAUGCAAGUCGAGCGAACAGACGAGGAGCUUGCUCCUCUGACGUUAGCGGCGGACGGGUGAGUAACACGUGGAUAACCUACCUAUAAGACUGGUAUCACUUCGGGAAACCGGAGCUAAUACCGGAUAAUAUAUUGAACCGCAUGGUUCAAUAGUGAAAGACGGUUUUGCUGUCACUUAUAGAUGGAUCCGCGCCGCAUUAGCUAGUUGGUAAGGUAACGGCUUACCAAGGCAACGAUGCGUAGCCGACCUGAGAGGGUGAUCGGCCACACUGGAACUGAAACACGGUCCAGACUCCUACGGGAGGCAGCAGUAGGGAAUCUUACGCAAUAGGCGAAAGCCUGACGGAGCAACGCCGCGUGAGUGAUGAAGGUCUUCGGAUCGUAAAACUCUGUUAUUAGGGAAGAACAAAUGUGUAAGUAACUAUGCACGUCUUGACGGUACCUAAUCAGAAAGCCACGGCUAACUACGUG